rnacentral:rRNA from 1 species
UACGUAGGGUGCAGGCGUUAAUCGGAAUUACUGGGCGUAAAGGGCGUGUAGGCGGUCCGCUAAGUCAGGUGUGAAAGGCCUGGGCUCAACCCAGGAAAUGCGCCUGAGACUGACGGACUUGAGGUCCGGAGAGGAUGGUGGAACUCCAGUGUAGAGGUGAAAUUCGUAGAUAUUGGGAAGAACACCCGUGGCGAAGGCGGCCAUCUGGACCGGUACUGACGCUAAUGCGCGACAGCGUGGGGAGCAAACGAGG